AGGCAUUAGAAUUAAGAAGGAUUAGGGGAGACUUUUGGGAAUAAAGGGCAAUUUUAUUUGGGACUUAAAGGAAAUCAAGCAAGCCAGUCAUUAGAGCAAAGGAGGGUCAAGAUGACUUCGAUUUAGCAGAUGCACUUGAUGAUAAUGAGGACAUCACAAGGAGACCUCCCCCAGCUACCAAGAAACCAGGAUCAGGUUGGUUAUAUCAUUAACUGUUUGAAAACAUCUUAAAUUUCAAAGUUGCAAAAUGAUGGUUUAUGCUAGACAAGAGUACAAUCUGACAGUCACAUAUCUGGAUUGAGCUUUACAAACAAGUUGUAAAUUAAAAUUAACUUAAUAAAAACUAGGUAUUUAGCA
rnacentral:lncRNA from 1 species